rnacentral:misc_RNA from 1 species
UAUUUAUUCAUAUUUUAUAUCAUAUAAAUUAUUUAUUUAACUAGACAAGUUGGCAAAAAAUCAUCUCUGAAAACGAAAUGACCAAAUGUCCUCCGUUUGGCUUAUUGAGCCAAAAUCGUCUGUACCGAUCUAAAAAUUUUUUUAAGCAUUUUCUUGGCAUUCUAAUAUCAUCGAAACCUCAAUGACUUUUCUCUGCAGUCCCAAAAAUUAUUUUAUAAAUUUUCUUCCGGGUUUAAGGCUUCUAGCUGCGAGUACCGCAACUUUGCAUAAAGUUACCCAUCGCUAGAAAUUGUAUUUUAUUUAUAAAAUUUUUUC